rnacentral:rRNA from 1 species
GACGGAGGGGGCGAGCGUUGUUCGGAAUUACUGGGCGUAAAGAGCGUGUAGGUGGUAUAGCAAGUCAGAAGUGAAAGCCCUAGGCUUAACCUAGGAAAUGCUUUUGAAACUGCUUGUACUAGAGUGCUGAAGAGGGUAGUGGAAUUCCUAGUGUAGAGGUGAAAUUCUUAGAUAUUAGGAGGAACGCCGGAGGCGAAGGCUAUUACCUGGGCAAAUACUGACACUGAGACGCGAAAGCGUGGGGA